rnacentral:tRNA from 1 species
GGGGGAUUAGCUCAGUUGGUUUAGAGCAUCUGCCUUACAAGCAGAGGGUCACUGGUUCGAAUCCAGUAUUCCCCA